AUUGAACGCUGGCGGCAGGCCUAACACAUGCAAGUCGAACGAGUGGCGGACGGGUGAGCAAUGUCUGGGAAACUGCCUGUUGGAGGGGGACCACUACCGGAAACGGUUGCUAAUACCGCCUACCUUCAGAUGGGCCCAGGUGGGAUUAGCGUGUUGGUGGGGUAACGGCUCACCACGGCGACGAUCCCUAGCUGGUCUGAGAGGAUGACCAGCCACACUGGAACUGAGACACGGUCCAGACUCCUACGGGAGGCAGCAGUGGGGAAUAUUGCACAAUGGGCGCAAGCCUGAUGCAGCCAUGCCGCGUGUAUGAAGAAGGCCUUCGGGUUGUAAAGUACUUUCAGCGGGGAGGCGUUACCCACAGAAGAAGCACCGGCUAACUCCGUGCCAGCCGCCGCGGUAAUUC
rnacentral:rRNA from 1 species